UCGACCUGAUCAAAGGUCUAUCAUGGUCCCGGCUCUCCCACUCAAAGGCAGCCAGUUCAUGGUCCUGUCUGGUCUACAUAUCUGCAAAAAAUCAUAAGCUGGGCUAAGAUGUCACAGGGAAAAACUGAGGCUGGAAGAUCAAAGGCCCAGCUUUCUGCUGAAGACAGAAACUCAAGAGGGUCCCAAGCCAGUGAGUCAGCAAUGCAGUCACAUUCACAUCCCCAGGAGUCAGGUUGCAAGAGACUAAAUGUGUAACUUCUAUAAUAAAAGGCAGAAGCAG
rnacentral:lncRNA from 1 species